UCGUAACAAGGUUUCCGUAGGUGAACCUGCGGAAGGAUCAUUACCGAGUGAGGGCCCUCUGGGUCCAACCUCCCACCCGUGUUUAUUUUACCUUGUUGCUUCGGCGGGCCCGCCUUAACUGGCCGCCGGGGGGCUUACGCCCCCGGGCCCGCGCCCGCCGAAGACACCCUCGAACUCUGUCUGAAGAUUGUAGUCUGAGUGAAAAUAUAAAUUAUUUAAAACUUUCAACAACGGAUCUCUUGGUUCCGGCAUCGAUGAAGAACGCAGCGAAAUGCGAUACGUAAUGUGAAUUGCAAAUUCAGUGAAUCAUCGAGUCUUUGAACGCACAUUGCGCCCCCUGGUAUUCCGGGGGGCAUGCCUGUCCGAGCGUCAUUUCUGCCCUCAAGCACGGCUUGUGUGUUGGGCCCCGUCCUCCGAUCCCGGGGGACGGGCCCGAAAGGCAGCGGCGGCACCGCGUCCGGUCCUCGAGCGUAUGGGGCUUUGUCACCCGCUCUGUAGGCCCGGCCGGCGCUUGCCGAUCAACCCAAAUUUUUAUCCAGGUUGACCUCGGAUCAGGUAGGGAUACCCGCUGAACCUAAGCAUAUCA
rnacentral:misc_RNA from 1 species